GAGUCUCGGAGCAGACCAACCCAAGAGUAACAAGUCUCUCUGAUCCUCGUCUCCUCCCCCCUGAGCUCCGUCUGCUCGCUCAGGAAGCUUUGUGGCUUGUUAGCACACGGGGAAUUUUGUAAGGAUAAUGAAAAGUCAGGAGAGGAUGUGAAGAAAGGCAACCGCUGCAGGGCUCAUUCUGGUCUGGACACGAUAGGAAAAGUCUUCUGAAUUUCCUCCCAUUUCCAUGCUAGGGUCGCAGCAGUACCAGAGCCUAUCCCAACUAACAUUGGGCAAAAGAUGGACUACACCCUGAACUGGUCGCCAGUCAGCUGCAGGGCACAUAUCAACACCAUCACUGAGCGAGAAUCGAUCCCAUACUGCCCGCACCAAAUUCAGUCUCCUUGUCUACUGUCUACUGCGGCAUACAGAUCAGCUCAACAGGUUCGGGGAAAAUAAAAGAGAUCCCACACUCUCAAUAAAUACUCUGAUGAAUACUCUUUAUAUACCAGAAGUACACAUACUCUCUUUGAGUGUGAGGUGCUUAUUGUCGGACUACUGACGUUUUGGCAUCACUCACCAUAAUAAACAACGUGAAAAGAUGAGAUUAACAGCUGAAUCUUCAUCGUCAACUCAAAAACUGUGCUGAUCGUCACUCCAAAGCGAUGCAACACUGCCAUCUACCGCCACGUGUUCAUUAUUACAGUUAGGUAAAGGGUUGAAAUUCACAGAAAACCAGGGCGAGACCCUCUUGAGGACUUGAGGAAUGUAUUCGCUGGUGGCAGUAAAUGGUUGGAACGACUUAAUGUGUGCAGAAUGUUUACAUGUUUUACCAUUUGAAGUUGGUCGUGACAAUUUUUGAAACCAAUCAGAGGGCGGAAAAAUGAUGACAUAAUCGAGGGCCACUCCUCCAGCCGUGCAACGACGAAUGUUUAAUCCGAAUGUUUAUAAAAAAAAUUUAAAAAACAGUUCCAUUGCUCAUACAUUGCACACAUGAGGACAGGGCAA